UGAGGAACAUGACCUUCGGCGGGGGAUAGCCGGCCCAACGGCCGGGUAAUACCGCGUACGACCACAUGGGGACAUCCCCGAGUGGUGAAAGCAGCAAUGCGCCGAUGGAGUGCCUCGCGGCCUAUCAGCUAGUUGGUGAGGUAACGGCUCACCAAGGCAACGACGGGUAGCUGGUCUGAGAGGACGACCAGCCACACUGGAACUGAGAUACGGUCCAGACUCCGUACGGGAGCAG
rnacentral:rRNA from 1 species